rnacentral:rRNA from 1 species
GACGAACGCUGGCGGCGUGCUUAACACAUGCAAGUCGAACGGUGAAGGGGUCUGCUUUUGUGGGCCCCGGUUGAGUGGCGCACGGAUGAGUAACACGGGAGUAACCUGCCCCCGUCUUCUGGAUAACCGGAUGAAAGGGUGUCUUAUACGGGAUAUUCUUGGUCUGUCUCAUUCUAGGUUUGGGGACGGUUUCGCUUUUGGUUGUUGUUGGAUGGGGAUGGGAUCGCGGCGUAUCAGCGUGUUGGUGGGGUGAUGGCCUACCAAGGCGGCGGAGCUUAGCCGGGAGGGGGGGGUGGAAGGUCAGACUGGGAAUGCGACCCGGCCCAGACUGCUAGGGGAGGCAGCAGUGGGGAAUACUGCACGAUGGGGGCAAGCCGGAUGCAGCGACGCCGCGUGAGAGAUGCAGGCCUUCGGGUUGCACACCUAUUUCGCAAGUGAAGCAGGCCUGCUACUUGUGGGUGGGUUGACGGUAGCUGGAUAAGAAGCGCCGGCUAACUACGUG